rnacentral:rRNA from 1 species
GCCUAAUACAUGCAAGUCGAGCGAACAGACGAGGAGCUUGCUCCUCUGACGUUAGCGGCGGACGGGUGAGUAACACGUGGAUAACCUACCUAUCAGACUGGGAUAACUUCGGGAAACCGGAGCUAAUACCGGAUAAUAUAUUGAACCGCAUGGUUCAAUAGUGAAAGACGGUUUUGCUGUCACUUAUAGAUGGAUCCGCGCCGCAUUAGCUAGUUGGUAAGGUAACGGCUUACCAAGGCGACGAUGCGUAGCCGAACUGAGAGGGUGAUCGGCCACACUGGAACUGAGACACGGUCCAGACUCCUACGGGAGGCAGCAGUAGGGAAUCUUCCGCAAUGGGCGAAAGCCUGACGGAGCAACGCCGCGUGAGUGAUGAAGGUCUUCGGAUCGUAAAACUCUGUUAUUAGGGAAGAACAAAUGUGUAAGUAACUAUGCACGUCUUGACGGUACCUAAUCAGAAAGCCACGGCUAACUACGUGCCAGCAGCCGCGGUAAUACGUAGGUGGCAAGCGUUAUCCGGAAUUAUUGGGCGUAAAGCGCGCGUAGGCGGUUUUUUAAGUCUGAUGUGAAAGCCCACGGCUCAACCGUGGAGGGUCAUUGGAAACUGGAAAACUUGAGUGCAGAAGAGGAAAGUGGAAUUCCAUGUGUAGCGGUGAAAUGCGCAGAGAUAUGGAGGAACACCAGUGGCGAAGGCGACUUUCUGGUCUGUAACUGACGCUGAUGUGCGAAAGCGUGGGGAUCAAACAGGAUUAGAUACCCUGGUAGUCCACGCCGUAAACGAUGAGUGCUAAGUGUUAGGGGGUUUCCGCCCCUUAGUGCUGCAGCUA